UACGUAGGGGGCUAGCGUUGUCCGGAUUUAUUGGGCGUAAAGAGCGUGUAGGCGGCCAGGUAGGUCCGUUGUGAAAACUCGAGGCUCAACCUCGAGACGUCGGCGGAAACCAUCUGGCUAGAGUCCGGAAGAGGAGAGUGGAAUUCCUGGUGUAGCGGUGAAAUGCGCAGAUAUCAGGAGGAACACCGAUGGCGAAGGCAGGUCUCUGGGCCAUAACUGACGCUGAGAAGCGAAAGCAUGGGGAGCGAACAGG
rnacentral:rRNA from 1 species